AGGGAAGCUGCACUGUUUAGUGUAGCCAUAGGGGCUCAGGUGAGCUUUACUCACCUGAGAGGCAGCCAGAGUCCCUACGGCUAUGGACUGAACUCCACAGUCCACACAACCAUGGAGGAAGCCUGCUCUGAAGAGGAGGUUAAUGCUCUGGGAACCAUGGAGGCUGAGGGCAGGCCAGGGAUGCUGCAUCUACUGACAGCAACUGGACAGCACCUCAUUUCUGAGGCAUUGUGGAGGGAGUUGGAGGCUCAUUUUAAGGAGCUGCCAUUUUAUUUAAGGAUCAUUUUGAGGGGAGGGGUAAAUUACAGAGGCGGAGGUGUUGGGGAGGAAGGGGGAGGAAGCAGAAGGAGAGGACAAAGGUAAAAUAAGGGCCCAGUAGAGGGAGAAUUCGUUGUUUUUUAAAAUGUUUAAUGUAUUUGUUUAGUUUAUAGUUAUUUGAGUUGCAUUCAUCAGUUUUGGUUAUUUCUUGUUAUUUGUUCAUUAAAUUCUUUGUUAUUCAUUUA